rnacentral:rRNA from 1 species
CAUGGGGCGUCUACCAUGCAGUCGCACGAGAAAGUCCCAGCUUGCUGGGGCAAGUAAAGUGGCGCACGGGUGAGUAACGCGUGGGUAAUCUACCUCCGAAUUGGGGAUAACACUGCGAAAGCGGUGCUAAUACCGAAUGACAUCCCCGGGACUCCGGUCUUGGUGAUCAAAGGUGGCCUCUACAUGUAAGCUAUCGUUUGGAGAUGAGCCCGCGUACCAUUAGCUAGUUGGUAGGGUAACGGCCUACCAAGGCUGCGAUGGUUAGCUGGUCUGAGAGGAUGAUCAGCCACACUGGAACUGACACACGGUCCAGACUCCUACGGGAGGCAGCAGUGAGGAAUUUUGCGCAAUGGGGGAAACCCUGACGCAGCAACGCCGCGUGAGUGAUGAAGGCUUUCGGGUCGUAAAGCUCUGUCAAGUGGGAAGAACCUGCUUUGUGAUAAUACCACGAGGCACUGACGGUACCACUGAAGGAAGCACCGGCUAACUCUGUGCCAGCAGCCGCGGUAAUACGGGGGGUGCUAGCGUUAUUCGGAAUCAUUGGGCGUAAAGGGCGCGUAGGCGGUCUCUUAAGUCAGAUGUGAAAGCCCUCGGCUUAACCGAGGAAGUGCAUUUGAUACUAGGAGCUUUGAGUAUGGGAGAGGGAAGCGGAAUUCCUGGUGUAGCGGUGAAAUGCGUAGAUAUCAGGAGGAACACCGGUGGCGAAGGCGGCUUCCUGGACCAAUACUGACGCUGAGGCGCGAAGGCGUGGGGAGCAAACAGGAUUAGAUACCCUGGUAGUCCACGCAGUAAACGGUGAACACUAGGCGUAGCGGGUAUUGACCCCCGCUGUGCCGAAGCUAACGCAUUAAGUGUUCCGCCUGGGAAGUACGGCCGCAAGGUUAAAACUCAAAGGAAUUGACGG